CUUUAAAGCACAGAAAUGAAUGUCUUCUUGAUUAAUGAAUGUUGAGUCCAGUUAGAGAUGCUUCCCGUUCCCUUUAUGGCCAUAUCUCUCUACAAAUUCAGGGUCUCCUAGCUUUCUUUUCACAUUUAUUGUCAACAGUGGUUGCCUCUGCAGAGCCAUUUCAACACAGCACCCACUGGCAGGGGUCACAAACAGCAGCAUUUACAAGAGAUUAAAUAAAAUUGACACAAAUUGAAAUUUUUCAUAGGGCUCUGGUUGCUUUGCAGUUUCUCUGCACCUCAUUGAAUGGGCCUGACAAUGCUUUGGACACGAUAACUGAGGGCAUUUAAUUUUCUAGGUUGCUUAUUACUAGGAACUGCAAACAGGAAUGUGUCAGCAGCAACUCAUCCAGAUCAAUGAUAUAAGAACUGCCAUUACAGGGUCAGACCAUAGGUCCAUCUUGCCCAGUCUCCUGUGUCACACAGGGGCAGAGAGCAGCCCCCAGAAUUUAAGACCCCCAGUUCUUACUAGUACUGGUACUAGUAAGAGUCCUUACUAAUACUGGUAGCCUCUCAAAAAUGACGUUUUUUGCUCCAUUCAAAGUGCAAUAGAAAUAUGCAGUUA